UUAUUCAAUUGUUUGUAAUAAGCGCCCAUAAGCACAAAAUGUCCGAGUAGAUAAGAUCGAAUGUGGAAUACAAUCGAAGAGCUGCGAUUAUCGAAGGCCUUCGCGGACUGAAAUUAUUCGGUUCUUUGGAUACUCGGAUCGAUCGUCCAUGAUGUGCGGCUAAAUAUUUUAUUUCAGAGACAUCCGAAAAAGAAUCUGCCAAUCCAACGAGAAAGAACCAUUCGAAAGAAAUGCCAAUUAAUUUAUACCCUAAGCGUCGUUUCCAGUGAGGGUCACGUUAUGCCACCACAUUUCUUUCAAAAGAAAGAAACCGUCAUCAAAGAGGAUGAUGCGCCAGCACACAUGAGUCACUAAAUUCAGGACUGACUGUCGGAUAAUGUUUUGGUCCAAGAAAUUCUGGCUUCCGAACAGUCUAGAUUUGAAUCCGUUGGACUACUAUAUGUGGAGUGUCAUUAAAUGAGUAAUCAACAAGUCGAGACAUCCUAACGUGACAUUUCUUCAGACCAUCAUCGAAGUGGCAGUCGCCAAUAUGGACCAAGACGCGCUACAACGAACGUGCCAGCAUUUCAGGCUGAGUAUUGAAGUCGUCAUUGAAGCAAAAGGGAGUUACAUAAAGUAACUGUAUUCUAAAAGGAUAUCACUAGUGAUGUACAAACAGCUUUUUGUAAUUCUUAAAAUUUGAAGAAUAUAGACUUUUGUUUAAAUGAA